UAGUGUUACAGUUCUUUUAGAAUUUAUCUACCAGGCUUUCUGCUCUUUGCUGGAAAGCCCAU
rnacentral:snRNA from 1 species